rnacentral:rRNA from 1 species
AACGUAGGUAACCUGCCCAUGUGUCUGGGAUAACUGCUGGAAACGGUAGCUAAAACCGGAUAGGUAUACGGAGCGCAUGCUCUGUAUAUUAAAGCGCCCUUCAAGGCGUGAACAUGGAUGGACCUGCGGCGCAUUAGCUAGUUGGUGAGGUAACGGCCCACCAAGGCGAUGAUGCGUAGCCGGCCUGAGAGGGUGAACGGCCACAUUGGGACUGAGACACGGCCCAA